rnacentral:rRNA from 1 species
GACGAACGCUGGCGGCGUGCUUAACACAUGCAAGUCGAACGAAGUGGCGAACGGGUGAGUAACGCGUAAUCAACCUGCUCUUCAGCGGGGGACAACAGUUGGACACGUGUGCUAAUAUCCUAUACGGAAGGAGGGGAUUGCGUCUGAUUGGCUAGUUGGGGGGGUAACGGCCCACCAAGGCGAUGGUCAGGAGCCGGACUGGGAGGGUGAACGGCCACAUUGGGACUGAGACACGGCCCAGAAUCCUACGGGAGGCAGCAGUGGGGAAUCUUCCGGAAUGGACGAAAGUCUGACGGGGCAACGCCGCGUGAGUGGUGACGGCUUUCGGGUUGUAAAGCUCUGUUAGUCGGGACGCGGUACCGGAACAGAAAGCCACGGCUAACUACGUGCCAGCAGCCGCGGUAAUAC